GGCUCGUUGGUCUAGGGGUAUGAUUCUCGCUUUGGGCGCGAGAGGUCCCGGGUUCGAAUCCCGGACGAGCCC